UGCACUGCUAUGUUUUUUCCAGUCGUGAAGCUGAUUUCGAGCUCCAACUUCGAUCAGGUUCUGCAGGCGAUGGUGUGCCACUCUCGCUCUCACCGAAUUUGCUUUUGGGGACCACGGGCAGUUGCAGGAAGAGUUGGAAAGCAGGGGAGGAACCCUUCUUAGGGUUGAGCUUGGGUAGUUGUGUGCUGCAUCUUGAGGGCAAGGUGAAGAGGAUAUCGAGGGUUCAUGCCUUAGUGUCGAAUUGGAACAGGAAGUGUACAGGGAUGAUUUAAGGGUCCCGGAUUUUGAUACAUUUGAUGGAUCAAGUCAAGUGGUGGUGUACUUUGGAUUAAGGUUAGUUUUGGAGAUAUGAAUUUCCAUUGAAAGCUCAAUCCUGUUCUAUCCCAGACUCGAUAUCUUCAUGUUUUCAUUUUGUUAGUUAGUUAGUUAGUUAGUGUUUUUUUUUGUUUUGUUUUGUUUUGUUUUUUUUUUAAAUAUUUUUUUUUGUUCUUUAGCAAAAUGUGCUUCAUUCUGCUGAGAGCAACGAGUGAAAUCAUCAACCUCUUGAACUCAACAUUCUUAGCAGCAUUGUGCAUUAGGAACAUGACUGCCUUGUGGUGUGUUGAAAAUGUUUAGAAAGACACAAGAGUAAUAGUAAGUCAUACACACACAAAAGUAGUAGUAAGUCACACAAGAAGGUUUCUAAGGAGAGAGAGCUUUUCAAACACAAAUCUAUAGAUCUGGUUGUGUCUCAUAUACAAGAAGAGAAAAGAGGAGAGGAUAAAUAAUACUUCUCCACUAGACUCUUAUUAUUGUAGUUGCAGUAAUUACUGUAGUCUAUAGUAAAUAUUGUGGAGAGCGUCGGCUAUAUUUAAUGACCUCAA